rnacentral:rRNA from 1 species
AACGAACGCUGGCGGCAGGCCUAAUACAUGCAAGUCGAACGCCCCGCAAGGGUAGUGGCGCACGGGUGAGUAACGCGUGGGGAUGUGCCCUUGGGUACGGAACAACACAGGGAAACUGGUGCUAAUACCGUAUAAUGACUCCGCUCCAAAGAUUUAUCGCCCAAGGAUCAACCCGCGUUGGACUAGCUAGUUGGUGAGGUAAUGGGUCACCAAGGGGACGAUCCAGAGUUGGUCUUAGAGGAAGAUCAGCCACACUGGAACUUAGACACGGUCCAGAUUGCAACGGGCGGCAGCUGUAAGGAAUAUUGGACAAUGGGGGAAACCCUGAUCCAUCCAUGCCGCGUGAAUGAAGAAGGCCUUAGAGUUAUAAAGUUCUUUUAGUGGUGAAGGUAAUGACGGUAGCCACAGAAAAAGCUACGGAUAACUCCGUGCCAGCAGCCGCAGUAA